AUGAACGCUGGCGGCGUGCCUAAUACCUGCACGUCGAGCGAACAGAUGAGGAGCUUGCUCCUCUGACGUUAGCGGCGGACGGGUGAGUAACACGUGGAUAACCUACCUAUAAGACUGGGAUAACUUCGGGAAACCGGAGCUAAUACCGGAUAAUAUAUUGAACCGCAUGGUUCAAUAGUGAAAGACGGUUUUGCUGUCACUUAUAGAUGGAUCCGCGCCGCAUUAGCUAGUUGGUAAGGUAACGGCUUACCAAGGCAACGAUGCGUAGCCGACCUGAGAGGGUGAUCGGCCACACUGGAACUGAGACACGGUCCAGACUCCUACGGGAGGCAGCAGUAGGGAAUCUUCCGCAAUGGGCGAAAGCCUGACGGAGCAACGCCGCGUGAGUGAUGAAGGUCUUCGGAUCGUAAAACUCUGUUAUUAGGGAAGAACAAAUGUGUAAGUAACUAUGCACGUCUUGACGGUACCUAAUCAGAAAGCCACGGCUAACUACGUG
rnacentral:rRNA from 1 species